rnacentral:rRNA from 1 species
GACGAACGCUGGCGGCGUGCUUAACACAUGCAAGUCGAACGGAAAGGCCCUGCUUUUGUGGGGUUCUCGAUUGGCGAAGGGGUGAGUAACACGUGAGGAUCCUGCCCUUGACUGUGGGAUAACUUCACGAAACUGGGGCUAAUACCGGGGAGGAGCUCCUGCUGCGUGGUGGGGGUUGGUAAGUGUCGGUGGUUGGGGAUGGUUUGGCGGCUUAUCAGCUUGUUUGGGGGGUAGUUGAGUACCAGGGCUUUGACGGGUAGCCGGCCUGGGAGGGGGAACGGCGACAUGGGUACUACGGUACGGAGCAGAAUGCUACGGGAGGCAGCGGUGGAGAAUAUUGCGCAGUGGGCGGAAGCGUGAUACAGCAGCCCCGGGUGCGGAAUGACGGCCUUCGGGUUGUGAACCGCUUUCGCCUGUGACGAAGAGUGAGUGACGGUACUGGGUAAAGAAGCACCGGCUAACUACGUG